rnacentral:lncRNA from 1 species
GAACAUUGAUGAGCGUUGUCCGUAAUGGACUCUUCAUCACUCUCCAACGGCUCCAUUUCCUAACCUAUAAAAAUCACCUUUCACUACGAUUCAAGGUACACACUUUUCUCUCUCGAUACCUCUAAGUUUUUGCUCUCAUAUUGACUUGAACAUCAAAAUAUUUGCAAAUAUCAUCCUUCAACAUCCAUCUCGACGAAAGUUGUUCAAUCUUGACCAAUUCAUCUCAAUUGUGUAAGAUCAUAAAUUAUUAAUACAUGUGGAAUUUUGAAAAUGAUUUUGUUAAUUUCAUUUUUUCCCAAAGCUCUUCAUUCUUUUCUUUUGUUAAUUCCUUUUUUUUUUCCAAAGCCUCAUCUAACUUCUCAUUCAAACUCACAAACAAAUCCUAAAACAAUUUAAAUGAUGGAAUAUGAAAUUAAGACAUGCUAAAAUUAUAUAUUAUGUAUCUUUAUUAAAUGAUGUACUUUUUAAGAAAAAAUAGAGUGCAAAAAACAUCACAUGAUAGCAAUGUCAUUUCAUAACACCUUUAAAAAAUACAAUGUCAUUUUAAAUAUAUUGGCACCCAAAACUACCACAUAUAAUUUGCAACGACCUAAUAAAUACAUUAAACAUAUGAAUUUACAACGACCUAAUGAAAAUAGAAAGUAGACAAAUACAUCUUAAGGGAACUAGACCAAAACAAAGGAAAUAAACAUAUGAAUUUACAACAAACAACCGUCUCAUUAAAAAUCUUUACCUAAAAAAUUAAGUGGGAUAAAAUUGGAAGCAUCUCAACAUGAGGAGUGGAGAGAAUCUUCAACUAAUUGUGGAGGGAGGAACCCAUCAUAAAAUCAACACUUUAAUCACCCUCGAAAUAUCUCACUUUUGUUUGAGUAAGCGUCAAAAUUAAAGCAUUGGUUAUAUUGGUUUCUAUAGAUUUAUUGACUUAAUGAAGCAAUGAGAAAACACAUGAUGAUUUACACGUGAUUAAUUUGGCACCAUAAUCCUACGUCGAUUAUGAAGAUGCUUUAGAACGUAAUAUUCACUUUCACAAAUAAAAUCAAUUACAUAUUAAUAUUAGGAAGACAUUCAAAUUAUGUAUACUCUACAAACUGAAGUUCACCCGUUCAAGGGUAAUUAACAAUUGAGUCUCACACUACUAUUCUUAUCUUGCUAUUGGAUUGAGAUACGAUGUAACUUUACAAUACUAUUCUUUCCUUUCAAAUUAUUUCAAUUUUACACAUAAAUAAAAGUGUGCACUAAAUUUUUAAGUCAUUAUAUUUCACUAUUAAUUUAUGACAAUUGUUGGUAACCAAUAUAUAUGUUGAGUCACGAAGGAAGUUCGGGGGACCGUCCACAUUGAGGUUAGAAAAACCACAUUUGUGAGAGAGACACCACACUCAUACCUAAAACCUUAAGGUAAUGGAUUUAUAAGUCCUUUUACUUAUAAUGUGUUCAACCUUUACUCUUUUAUCCGAGGUGGAAUAUAUAUAUAAUGGAGACUUAUUAUUAGCAAAAAUAAAAUAAAAUGAUGAUGACAAUUUUGUAAACUUGUUAUACAUCUUCAUUAUUAUUUUUGUUUAAUCUAUAUGAAACAUCCUUUUAAAACGAAGGUAUUACCAUUCAUAAAAAGGGAGAGUAGCUUACAUUUGUGAAUGUUAUGUAGUUGGUAUUAAUUAUCUAGGAUUUUCAUGAAACUUCACCUUAUGAAAUAUCUUCAAAAUUCUAGUAAUCGAUUUCCCAACACAAAAUAUUAGGCCCCACGACACGAUUGGCAAAGGCAAACCUCCUCCACUAUGAAAGGGUUUGAUAAAUUAAGUCGACACACAUGGGUUGUGGGUAGCUCUUAUUUAAUGAAAAGCAUAUUGGAGUCGGUCAAGGAAAAGAAAGGACCAAAAUAAUCAAACCUUACCUUAGCUGCAUGAUAUGAUACGAUACCGAAAGUGUUGUGCUCUCCAUUCAUUUUCUUUUGGAAGAUUCUCAAUGAAAGAAAAAAGGAACUACAAAACAAGAACGACACGUAGUGUCCACGGAAGUGUGAUUGUUGUGAAAUUGAGAAAUUGGUAGCUACUAUUGACUAUUAAGCCAAAUAUUAUUCCUUUGGAUUGCUAUAGGCCUUUGCCGGUCACUAAUGACCCAAUUAUUUAAUUAAAGUACUUUUUAAACUCAAUUAAUUAAAGUACUUAGACUUAUACGAUAGUGUGACAUGAAUAUAUGUCCUUUUUAUUUAGACCAUGUUGUGUUCAAAUUAACUCCAAAUAUACAAAGGAGCAGCCUUUGUACUCCAUGUUAGCAAAUCCUUAUAAAUUUGUACUAGCCUUCAAACCUAAAAACGUGUUUUACAUGGUUAAUAUUUGGGGAUUAUGUUAGAAAGGAUCUCUAUAUAAUAUUUUCAAUCAUCAAUAUGGAAUAUUAAAUUUUAAAAGUAACAUUGAUCAAUAUAGCGUGACAUAAGUUAUAAAUAUUUGAACCUUUAACUAUUUGGUCAAGAGUUUGAUUUCUAAUUAGUAUGUAUGAAAAACAUUUGUCCCAAGAGGUCAAACCUUAAACAAUCUUUUGGUGUAAAAAGAAGUAGCAUGGAGUACAAGGCUGCCCCUUUGUAUCUUUGGAAUUCAUUCGUGAACACAACAUGGUAUAAAUAAAAUGGCAUCUAUACUUUAUCUUUUUUAGGGGAAAAUGAAAUAUAUUCAUGUCACACUAUCGUGUGUAAACUAAAAAAUAUAUCUUCAGUAAGUGUGUAUAUAUAUAUAUAUCAUAUCAUAUCAUACUUUCAUGUCAUCCUUAUUGGUUCACUCAAUUUUUUGACUAAUUUAAUAAAUGAAAUUGAUUUCUUAUUAGGAUAUACAUAAGUGCUUGAGUUUUAGAUAGAACCACGAGCAAUUGGAUAGUAGAAUCUCAAAUAAAACAAAAAUGAAUGUUGAUCCUAAUCAAUCUAGCUUGAAGUAGCGUGAAGUCAACGAUUAGCUGAAUAACCAGUUAUUAUGUUGACAUAUACGGCACGCAUUGUUGCAUAGUGGUGUGCGUCUUCGAAUUCUUCUUGUUCUAAUCUCUUAUAUGAGGUUUUGUUUAAGAAUUUAGAGAAGAAUUAUUAAGAAUAAACAAAAAAUUCUAGUAAGUCUUCUUAUUUUCUCUCUUUCAAAUUCACACUUUUGAUUGAGAUGUCUCAAUUAAACUCAGAUAGCCGUUGCUUGAAAGGUGUACACAAAAAAUUGGAGUUUGUGAUGCCGUCCAUGCAGAAGUAAGUGGAAUGUAUUAGAAUGCAAAUUGCGAGAAAAUAAGAGAGUUUACCUAAUUGAUAUUGUAACAUGAAGUUGUAAGCUUAACAUAAACACUGCUGCCUUGGUUCUUUGAUUCCAUGAUCUUUCCAACUUACGGUUAAGCACAUCUGAUGGGAAAGAAAUAAAUCACUGAUUGAUUAACUUAUUUUACUCGAUAUAAUCGAGGCUUUCAUGAUUAAAAAUAUUAGUGUAGUCCUAGAUUUUUUUCGUUUUUUAGACUUGCCCAAAAUUAAUUAUUUUGGUCUUAAUUUAUUGGUAGGAAAGGUAAUUACUUUUUUUUAUUAACGAACUAAUCCGCUAGCUUGUCUUAAAAGUGUAUGAAUUUGUCUUUUCUAGUUUUGAAUAGUGUCCUCCUAGGCGAUUUAAUAUUUGUUCGUAAGAUGAACAAUAUGAUAGAUAGAGUUAGUUGAUAUCUAUCAAAGACUUUCUUGAUAGGGGUGGGAG